UACGUAGGGGGCAAGCGUUGUUCGGAAUUACUGGGCGUAAAGCGCGCGUAGGCGGUCUGAAAAGUCAGAUGUGAAAGCCCCGGGCUCAACUUGGGAACUGCAUUUGAGACUGCUCUGCUCGGGUGCGGAAGAGGGAAGCGGAAUUUCCGGUGUAGCGGUGAAAUGCGUAGAUAUCGGAAGGAACACCAGUGGCGAAAGCGGCUUCCUGGUCCGACACCGACGUUCAGGCACGAAAGCGUGGGGAGCAAACAGG
rnacentral:rRNA from 1 species